rnacentral:ncRNA from 2 species
AAGUAAUCAUGCGACUGGCGAAUAAUGGAAUUAACCAUAGGGAGCAUGAUUAUGGGAAAGAUAUCGAUCGCCUGGGUAAAACAA